GCUGGCGAUGGUGUGCACGUGCAGGGGCUCGCGGCCGCUGCGCUCCAGGUUCAGUUCCUGGCGCAGGUC
rnacentral:tRNA from 1 species